rnacentral:rRNA from 1 species
GAUGAACGCUAGCGGCGGGCUUAACACAUGCAAGUCGAGGGAGAGGUUACCUUCGGGUUACCUAGACCGGCGCACGGGGGCGUAACGCGUAUAAAACCUGCCUUACAUAUAGGGAUAGCCCGAAGAAAUGCGGAAUAAUACCUAAUGGAAUAUAAGAGCGGCAUCGGUCUCAUAUUAAAGCUACGGUGGUGAAAGAUGAGUAUGCGGUCGAUUAGCUAGGUGGGGAGGUAACGGCUCCCCAAGGCGACGAUAGAGAGGGGGUCGGAGAGGGAGGUCCCCCACACUGGUACUGAGAUGCCGACCACACUCCUGCGGGAGGGAGCAGUGAAGUAUAUUACACUGUGGUCGGGAGUCUUACCCAGCCAUGCCGUGUGCAGUAUGAAGCUCCUAUGUAUUGUACUCUGCUUUUAUAAGGGCAGAAUUAGCUGUACUGUUACUUUGUUGACGGUACCUUACGAAUAAGCAUCGGCUAACUCCGUG